rnacentral:lncRNA from 1 species
AUUUUAUUUAUUUUUUAUUACGAAAAGACAUAAAAUAUAAUAUUCAAAUUGCAAUCCAUCAAGUUUUUAACCUAAUCUAGGUCAUAUCCUAUAGACAUACAAUAUGCAUUUGACAAUGACGGUUUGUUUAUUACUGGUUGCUAUAGUGAUAUUGUAGAUGAACUUCUUUAGAAAUGAUUAUGCAUAAUAUAUAUUAAGGUGAAAAUCAGACAAAUACAUUGCAAACACAAAAAUAACUAAUUAAAUUCCACAAAAACGGGAUACAUCUUUUUUUACAGUUUUGGUGUUAAUAAGAGGUGCAGGUACCACAAAAAUCCAUUCACCUAAUGUUUAUUUUUAAAUGCCUUUUCAUAAAUCAAGAUCUUUAGUAUCACACUUGUACUUUUCGUAACAUUUGAUAAACUUGUAAAUACGAAUCGAUGGUUUAAAAUUUGAUUCUGAUAGAUUCUAGAAAAUCUUGAACAUUUAUCCAAGACAUAAGCGAAUUUUUGUAAAUCUUGAAAAAAUAUUUACAAAAAAAAUCUAAGUAGAUGUGGUAUGAUUGUGAAAGAUUCAUCAAUCCAUUGGAUUAAAAAAAAAGUGAAUUUAUUAAGCAACUGUAGGUCAGCCUUUAAACUUCAACAAUGAACACAAUUUAUACCGUAUACUAGUAGUAAACUAUUCCGACAGUGGCCUGUAUGAACAAAAUUUCAUGUUAAAAAUUCAAACGACAAAAUGAAAGGCCUGAUUAAUGCUUUAACAAUAAAUGAAAAAAAAUAUCUGACAGCAACCAAUGACUAACAAAACCACUGAACUAUACAUGGCCUGACUUUGGAAGACACAUUAAACAAACACAAUGUUAGAAUUCAACCCUUCCUAAACGACUGCUUUACAGUACAGUGUUGUAACAGCACAAUAAAAGAUUAAACAGUAAAAAUCACACGAAAAGGACUCAACUCAUCGGAUGGAAGCCCCAAAUCAACUUAUAAAAAGACAAAAGACACAAAGUACAAUCUUCAAUAAUGACUUAAUCAAAGGAACAGCAACUUUUAUAUACAUGUACAUGCAUGAGUCAUUGUAUCAAUUCUUUCAACUGUAAUACAUUAGACAACUAACUUAAAAAAAAAGAUAUUAUAUAAAACAUGCAUACAAUAUACUUUAAAACAUUACAAUUAAAACAUGAAAUAAUAAACUCGGUCACGGAAUAUUUCUCAUUUGACUACAUACGUAGGUUUGAUAAACUGGAUAAAAGUAUGUACUUCCACGGUACUAGCACUACUCAUAACAAUUUUGGUGGCAAAAUAACUAUAACAACAUCGUCAUGAAGGUAAUGAACGGGUUAUGAAGUAAAAGCAAAGAGGACCACAGUGUCCCUAUUCUCUCAAAUUUGGGGGACAAGACGUUUUUAUUCUCUCUUCGCAUCCCCAUGUUUUUAUUAUUUUUCAUUUUCAAUAGACCUUUGUACCUCAACCUACAUACUCACUUAACAAUAAUUCAAUCACCUUUGAGCACACACACCAUAAAUUUAAGAUUUAAUUAUAACAAGAAUGAAGCAGUCAAGAAAAACUGUAUUUACAUGUGAAUUAUUUACAAUUGUGCAUUUUUUUUUAAUUUAAAA